GCUACUGCUCCAGGAGGCGCUGGUGGAAUGAUCUUGCAACCCUUGUAUUCAGAGUGUGCCAUUUAUGGUAAAUUAAUGCACGAUAUGUUUGAAGAAAUGCGGAACGAUAACAGAAUUGGUCCAGAACAAUGUCAAUCAGGAUAUCAUACAGUAUGCAUGUCUGAAGAUAUGGAAAAAGGUUCGCUGUGCAGUAACUGAGCAAAUGCCCCAAAACUGUGUGGAUAAGAUUAUGGAAUUUGUACAAGGAAAUUCAUGUAACGGAAACGAAGUUUGAUGUGAUCGAAAUUUAAAUUAAAAAUAUAACUGUUGCCACCUUUUAUGAAGAAACAUGAAAUGUCGGUGAAAUAAAUAUAUUCAAUUAUAAAGUUCUA